UACGUAGGGGGCAAGCGUUAUCCGGAUUUACUGGGUGUAAAGGGAGCGUAGACGGCUUGGUAAGUCUGAUGUGAAAGCCCAGGGCUCAACCCUGGGACUGCAUUGGAAACUACCUAGCUAGAGUGCAGGAGAGGUAAGUGGAAUUCCUAGUGUAGCGGUGAAAUGCGUAGAUAUUAGGAGGAACACCAGUGGCGAAGGCGACUUACUGGACUGUUACUGACGUUGAGGCUCGAAAGCGUGGGGAGCAAACAGG
rnacentral:rRNA from 1 species